GGUUCAUUAGUGUAGCGGUUAUCACUUCGGAUUCUGAUGGGUUUCGACCCGCGGAUAUUCCGACAACCCCGGUUCGAAUCCGGGAUGGACCU